GAUGAACGCUGGCGGCGUGCCUAAUACAUGCAAGUCGAGCGAACGGACGAGAAGCUUGCUUUUCUGAUGUUAGCGGCGGACGGGUGAGUAACACGUGGAUAACCUACCUAUAAGACUGGGAUAACUUCGGGAAACCGGAGCUAAUACCGGAUAAUAUUUUGAACCGCAUGGUUCAAAGGUGAAAGACGGUCUUGCUGUCACUUACAGAUGGAUCCGCGCUGCAUUAGCUAGUUGGUAAGGAAACGGCUUACCAAGGCAACGAUGCAUAGCCGACCUGAGAGGGUGAUCGGCCACACUGGAACUGAGACACGGUCCAGACUCCUACGGGAGGCAGCAGUAGGGAAUCUUCCGCAAUGGGCGAAAGCCUGACGGAGCAACGCCGCGUGAGUGAUGAAGGUCUUCGGAUCGUAAAACUCUGUUAUUAGGGAAGAACAUAUGUGUAAGUAACUGUGCACAUCUUGACGGUACCUAAUCAGAAAGCCACGGCUAACUACGUG
rnacentral:rRNA from 1 species